UGAGCGUCAGGGUCUGAUGAUUGUAGGCUACCUCCGCUCAUUGCGGACUGAACUCAGAUCCGAACGCAGCCCAGUUCUCUGGGUCCCCCCCCCUUCCCUCUUCUCUAAGCCAGCUGGCCUGGCUUAAUAGCACUGCUUUCUUUCUUUCUUUCUUUCUUUCUUUCUUUCUUUCUUUCACUUUCCUUUUUUCAUCUUUUUUAAAAAAAAAAAAGAGAUCUUGUCUUGUUUGAUACAAGGGAUUGGCUGAUCCAAACCCCACAGCUGGAGCUGCUGGGGGAGCUUCCAGGUGAAGACCAGAACAAAAAGCACUGGUGCUUUUCGCUGACGUGCCUGCGAAGCGCGUGCUGCUCCAGGACAGGAGACUCCCGGAUGGACUGAACCGCUGGACGGAGACACGCGAGUAGGAAAGUGACGCAGAGGCACACGCGAGGCUGAGCGAGAGAGGUAAGCGUUUAUCCCUCCGUGGGUUGCGUGUGCGCGCGUGCGUGUGUGUGUGUGUGUGUGUGUGAUGCGGGUUUGACACGCCAUAUACAACAGGAAACAAACAGAAGCGGGAUAAUCCCUCUCAAGUCUGCGCGCGGAGCCUUUCACUUCUCCUCACAUCCGAUAAAGAAGUCUCGAGAAGCUCUCCGUUUCUUCACAACUUUAUCCUCCGUGUCAGCAUUAACCCGUUUUCCUCAGAGCCCCUCUUUUCUCUCAGCUAUAGCUUUGCUUUUGCGGUUAGGGAUUUUUAAGUCUUUUUAAGCCCGGAGCUGGAGCUCUGUUAGCGGGCGUUGUGCGGACUCGGAGCCGCGGACCGGUCGACUUCUCCCCCGGCAGAGAGUGGUGAAAACAGUCGGGCCGCCUCCUGAAAAGUGUGCGCGUCCUUUUCUCUUUCUUCACCUGCUGUGAUGACGGAGG